UCACUGCUCCACACACUUUAAGGCCCCCAGUACUGAUCAGUGACUGUCCAGUCCUUUCACAGACACUGACACAGGCAGCAUUAUGAUGAUAUCAAACUUUCUACUGCUGGUAAUGCUGGGACUCCUUGUACAGGGAUCAAAGGCAGAUACAGUCCUGACUCAGUCUCCAACAGCUCAGUCUUUUCAGCAAGGAGACACUGUCUCUAUCAGCUGUACAGCCAGUGAGAGUGUGAGCAAUUGGCUCCACUGGUACCUGCAGAAACCUGGUCAGGCUCCUAAACUUCUGAUUCGUGUUGCCACAACUCGCCAGUCUGGGAUUCCUGAUCGUUUCAGUGGGAGUGGAUCUGGGACUCAGUUCACACUGAAAAUCACUGGAGUCCAGGCUGAAGAUGCAGGAGAUUAUUACUGUCAGCAGGGCUGGAGCACUCCGUACACACAGCGAUAGAGAGCCGUACAAAAACCUCCCUCAGUCUGACUGCACAGAGACUGCACUGCUGCAGCUGGGACUACUGCAGGUGGUGAGGGGGGAGGCACUGGUCUGGAACACUGAGGGGCUCUCCUCAUAUUCUGAACUGUAUUACGUAUGAGUAACUCUCAUAUUCUCAUAUUUAACACCAUUUCUCUAAAUGUUAAUGUGAGCACAUCCAAAACCUUCCUGCUAAGAUCCAUUUGAAUUGUAUAUGCAUAAACAUUUUAUUGAAGGAAUACACUUGAGACACAGGAAUUGGUCAGUUUCAAAUUGUUUAAUCUCUCCCGAAACAGAAAUAGGAAGGGGUAACCAAUCAGCAUUUUGU